rnacentral:ncRNA from 1 species
UAAAAAUUUUAAUAGUUUAAAAAUUUUAAUUUAAAUUUAUUUUACAUAUAAAUUUUAGUAUAUAAUUUUAUUUAUUUUGAUAAUAAUUAAUUUUAAUAGUAGUAAUUAAUAUUAAAAAUUUAAGAAAUUAAGAUUUAGUAAUAUAAAAAUUAAUAACUAAUUUUGUGCCAGCAGUUGCGGUUAAACAAAAGUUAAAUUAAAUUUUUUUAGAUAUAUUAAAUAAAUACUUUUAUUUAAUUUAAAAAUUAUAUUAUUAGGUAAAAUUAUAAUUUAAUAAAAAAUUAAUAUUGAUUUAUGAAUUAAUAAAUUUAUAGUUAAACUAGGAUUAGAUACCCUAUUAUUAAAAAUUUAAAUUUAAAAUAUUAAAAUAGUAGAUAUAAAAUAUUGAAACUUAAAUUAUUUGGCGGUAUUUUAGUUCAUUUAGAGGAAUCUGUUUAAUAAUUGAUAAUCCACGAAUAAAUUUACUUAAUUUAAAAUUUUAUAUAUCGUUGUUAAAAAAAAUAUUUUUAAAAAAAAUUAAUAUUUUAAUUUUAUUAUAAAAAUUUAAAUCAAAUCAAGAUGUAGAUUAUAAUUAAGAAUAUAAUGGAUUACAAUAAAAAAAUUUUUGGAUAUUAAUUUGAAAUUGUUAAUUAAAAUUGGAUUUAAAUGUAAUUUUAUAUAAUUUUUUAAAGUGAUUAAAAAUUAAAAUAUGUACAUAUUGCCCGUCGCUUUCAUUUAUAAAUUGAAAUAAGUCGUAACAAAGUAGAGGUACUGGAAAGUGUUUCUAGAAAGAA